CCUACGGGUGGCUGCAGUGAGGAAUAUUGGUCAAUGGGCGUGAGCCUGAACCAGCCAAGUCGCGUGAAGGAUGACUGCCCUACGGGUUGUAAACUUCUUUUAUAAAGGAAUAAAGUGAGGCACGUGUGCCUUUUUGUAUGUACUUUAUGACUAAGGAUCGGCUAACUCCGUUCCAGCAGCCGCGGUAAUACGGAGGAUCCGCGCGUUCUCCGGAUUUAUUGGGUUUAAAGGGAGCGUAGAUGGGUUGUUAAGUCAGUUGUGAAAGUUUGCGGCUCAACCGUACAAUUGCACUUGAGACUGGGAGGCUUGAGUACAGUUGAGGUAGGCGGAAUUCGUGGUGUAGCGGUGAAAUGCUUAGAUAUUGCGCAGAACUCCGAUUGCGAAGGCAGCAUACCGGCG
rnacentral:rRNA from 1 species